CAGACCAUUCAAAUAAUCCGUCUAGUUGUAAAUGUUUAAUAUUUAUAAUUUUAUUAUAUAAUACAUUCUUAGCCAUCCAGAAAAUGGUCCCUCUUGCAUGUACGACUAUUAACAGAAGUUUUGUUAUAAACAAUGGUAGACGCACACUGUAUCAGAUUUGAAGUGUUUAUCUGAUUUAGAAGAGGAAUUCCGAAAUAUUGAGCGUCGUUUGCUCUUUUGCCAUUUUCUUCGAGCGGGUCCUUCUCAGUCUCGCUUUCAUUUGUAUCUUCCAAAUGUGAUCCGAAUCUCUGCAAUGGAAGCGUUAGAUCAAAGAUUGAAGAUCUAAACUGGGAUCACUCCUUUGUGCGGGAUUUGCCGGGAGAUUCACGGACUGAUGCGAUUCCCCGGCAGGUGAGUCUCGCCUUCUGCUAAAGUGGAGAACCCUGAACUUGUGGCGUGGUCAGAACUAGUUGCUGAGUUGCUUGAUUUGGAUAUGAAAGAAUGUGGUUGCAACUAGUGAAGUCAAUAUUUUGUUGGCAUUGGAUCCCUCAAAGAAUUUGCGUAGAGAAUCAAUUCAGCAGCAGGCAAGCGUAGGAGCUUAAGAUCAUUACAUUUCGUUGAGCUGGUUACUUUCUGUCAUCACUUAUUGCUGUGUCCAGCAUUUGGUAUAUUUGCAUUCUGUGAAUAGAUUCCGGCGCCGAUGCUGUAAUUCACUAGUAUGCAGCCAAGUUUGCUAUCAUUAGCUAAAUAUACCUAUGAGGUUUGUUGAAUGAGGAAAAUAUGUAGGCCUCACCACGGAUGGCCCAUGGGGUAAAAAUUCCUAUAGAUUGGGAGAUCCUAGAACUAUGUUAUUUGGCCCUUUUUGUGGUUGAAUGUGAAGGAUAGUAGUAAUUCUUUCUUGACUGCCUAUUUGUUGGCACCUACUGCAAGGGUUGGGAUUUCUCCAAUCUAGGAGAUUUGCUGAAUGGGGCAUCCAUAGUGCAGCCCCUGAUUUCGACUAUUGGGAUCAAUGAACUAGGGACCACAUUGCAGCACUCCUACAAUCUGAAAACCUCAAACAGUUUUGCAACUCUCGGCCUGCCACUUCAGAAUUGUUGUAAUCUUAAUGUUGUUUCAACCAUGUGUCUUUUCCUUUGGGAUUAGAUUGCUAGAGUAUGAGGAUGUAUUAGAUGUUCAACGCCGAAUACGGAAUUAGUUAUUCAACCUUUAAUCACCACACACAUGGUAGGCAUAUAAAAGAUUUUGAAUCUUGACUGUUCAUCUUUUUUAGAAUGUGUAAUUUUAUUUAUUUUUUUAUUUUUUUGAGCAGGCAACAACAUAGCCAUUGGCCAGAG